GGGGGUAUAGCUCACUGGUAGAGCAUUCGUCUGCAGAUUGAGAGGUCCCUGGUUCAAACCUUGGUGCCCCUU
rnacentral:tRNA from 1 species